GACGAACGCUGGCGGCGUGCUUAACACAUGCAAGUCGAACGAUGACGACCGAGCUUGCUCGGUCUGAUUAGUGGCGAACGGGUGAGUAACACGUGAGCAACCUGCCCUUCACUCUGGGAUAACCUCGGGAAAUCGGGGCUAAUACCGGAUAUGAGCUCCUGUCGCAUGGCGGGUGUUGGAAAGUUUUUCGGUGAAGGAUGGGCUCGCGGCCUAUCAGUUUGUUGGUGAGGUAGUGGCUCACCAAGGCGAUGACGGGUAGCCGGCCUGAGAGGGCGACCGGCCACACUGGGACUGAGACACGGCCCAGACUCCUACGGGGGGCAGCAGUGGGGAAUAUUGCACAAUGGGCGAAAGCCUGAUGCAGCGACGCCGCGUGAGGGAUGACGGCCUUCGGGUUGUAAACCUCUUUCAGCAGGGAAGAAGCGAAAGUGACGGUACCUGCAGAAGAAGCGCCGGCUAACUACGUG
rnacentral:rRNA from 1 species